rnacentral:rRNA from 1 species
GGGUUGUGAGGUUAAGCGACUAAGCGUACACGGUGGAUGCCCUGGCAGUCAGAGGCGAUGAAGGACGUGCUAAUCUGCGAUAAGCGUCGGUAAGGUGAUAUGAACCGUUAUAACCGGCGAUUUCCGAAUGGGGAAACCCAGUGUGAUUCGUCACACUAUCAUUAACUGAAUCCAUAGGUUAAUGAGGCGAACCGGGGGAACUGAAACAUCUAAGUACCCCGAGGAAAAGAAAUCAACCGAGAUUCCCCCAGUAGCGGCGAGCGAACGGGGAGGAGCCCAGAGCCUGAAUCAGUGUGUGUGUUAGUGGAAGCGUCUGGAAAGGCGCGCGAUACAGGGUGACAGCCCCGUACACAAAAAUGCACAUGCUGUGAGCUCGAUGAGUAGGGCGGGACACGUGGUAUCCUGUCUGAAUAUGGGGGGACCAUCCUCCAAGGCUAAAUACUCCUGACUGACCGAUAGUGAACCAGUACCGUGAGGGAAAGGCGAAAAGAACCCCGGCGAGGGGAGUGAAAAAGAACCUGAAACCGUGUACGUACAAGCAGUGGGAGCACAGAGCAAUCUGUGUGACUGCGUACCUUUUGUAUAAUGGGUCAGCGACUUAUAUUCUGUAGCAAGGUUAACCGAAUAGGGGAGCCGAAGGGAAACCGAGUCUUAACUGGGCGUUAAGUUGCAGGGUAUAGACCCGAAACCCGGUGAUCUAGCCAUGGGCAGGUUGAAGGUUGGGUAACACUAACUGGAGGACCGAACCGACUAAUGUUGAAAAAUUAGCGGAUGACUUGUGGCUGGGGGUGAAAGGCCAAUCAAACCGGGAGAUAGCUGGUUCUCCCCGAAAGCUAUUUAGGUAGCGCCUCGUGAAUUCAUCUCCGGGGGUAGAGCACUGUUUCGGCAAGGGGUCAUCCCGACUUACCAACCCGAUGCAAACUGCGAAUACCGGAGAAUGUUAUCACGGGAGACACACGGCGGGUGCUAACGUCCGUCGUGAAGAGGGAAACAACCCAGACCGCCAGCUAAGGUCCCAAAGUCAUGGUUAAGUGGGAAACGAUGUGGGAAGGCCCAGACAGCCAGGAUGUUGGCUUAGAAGCAGCCAUCAUUUAAAGAAAGCGUAAUAGCUCACUGGUCGAGUCGGCCUGCGCGGAAGAUGUAACGGGGCUAAACCAUGCACCGAAGCUGCGGCAGCGACACUGUGUGUUGUUGGGUAGGGGAGCGUUCUGUAAGCCUGUGAAGGUGUGCUGUGAGGCAUGCUGGAGGUAUCAGAAGUGCGAAUGCUGACAUAAGUAACGAUAAAGCGGGUGAAAAGCCCGCUCGCCGGAAGACCAAGGGUUCCUGUCCAACGUUAAUCGGGGCAGGGUGAGUCGACCCCUAAGGCGAGGCCGAAAGGCGUAGUCGAUGGGAAACAGGUUAAUAUUCCUGUACUUGGUGUUACUGCGAAGGGGGGACGGAGAAGGCUAUGUUGGCCGGGCGACGGUUGUCCCGGUUUAAGCGUGUAGGCUGGUUUUCCAGGCAAAUCCGGAAAAUCAAGGCUGAGGCGUGAUGACGAGGCACUACGGUGCUGAAGCAACAAAUGCCCUGCUUCCAGGAAAAGCCUCUAAGCAUCAGGUAACAUCAAAUCGUACCCCAAACCGACACAGGUGGUCAGGUAGAGAAUACCAAGGCGCUUGAGAGAACUCGGGUGAAGGAACUAGGCAAAAUGGUGCCGUAACUUCGGGAGAAGGCACGCUGAUAUGUAGGUGAAGUCCCUCGCGGAUGGAGCUGAAAUCAGUCGAAGAUACCAGCUGGCUGCAACUGUUUAUUAAAAACACAGCACUGUGCAAACACGAAAGUGGACGUAUACGGUGUGACGCCUGCCCGGUGCCGGAAGGUUAAUUGAUGGGGUCAGCGCAAGCGAAGCUCUUGAUCGAAGCCCCGGUAAACGGCGGCCGUAACUAUAACGGUCCUAAGGUAGCGAAAUUCCUUGUCGGGUAAGUUCCGACCUGCACGAAUGGCGUAAUGAUGGCCAGGCUGUCUCCACCCGAGACUCAGUGAAAUUGAACUCGCUGUGAAGAUGCAGUGUACCCGCGGCAAGACGGAAAGACCCCGUGAACCUUUACUAUAGCUUGACACUGAACAUUGAGCCUUGAUGUGUAGGAUAGGUGGGAGGCUUUGAAGUGUGGACGCCAGUCUGCAUGGAGCCGACCUUGAAAUACCACCCUUUAAUGUUUGAUGUUCUAACGUGGACCCGUGAUCCGGGUUGCGGACAGUGUCUGGUGGGUAGUUUGACUGGGGCGGUCUCCUCCUAAAGAGUAACGGAGGAGCACGAAGGUUGGCUAAUCCUGGUCGGACAUCAGGAGGUUAGUGCAAUGGCAUAAGCCAGCUUGACUGCGAGCGUGACGGCGCGAGCAGGUGCGAAAGCAGGUCAUAGUGAUCCGGUGGUUCUGAAUGGAAGGGCCAUCGCUCAACGGAUAAAAGGUACUCCGGGGAUAACAGGCUGAUACCGCCCAAGAGUUCAUAUCGACGGCGGUGUUUGGCACCUCGAUGUCGGCUCAUCACAUCCUGGGGCUGAAGUAGGUCCCAAGGGUAUGGCUGUUCGCCAUUUAAAGUGGUACGCGAGCUGGGUUUAGAACGUCGUGAGACAGUUCGGUCCCUAUCUGCCGUGGGCGCUGGAGAACUGAGGGGGCUGCUCCUAGUACGAGAGGACCGGAGUGGACGCAUCACUGGUGUUCGGGUUGUCAUGCCAAUGGCACUGCCCGGUAGCUAAAUGCGGAAGAGAUAAGUGCUGAAAGCAUCUAAGCACGAAACUUGCCCCGAGAUGAGUUCUCCCUGACCCUUUAAGGGUCCUGAAGGAACGUUGAAGACGACGACGUUGAUAGGCCGGGUGUGUAAGCGCAGCGAUGCGUUGAGCUAACCGGUACUAAUGAACCGUGAGGCUUAACCUUACAACGCCGAAGGUGUUU